rnacentral:rRNA from 1 species
CCAAGGAGUCUAACAUGUGUGCGAGUCAUUGGGUCUUGAAUAUGCCCAAAGGCGAAAUGAGAGUGAAGGCUAGGUCCAAUUUUUUUUGGCCGGCUAGGUUGGGAUCCCUCGCCCCAUGUGGCGGGGGCGCACCAACGUCCCGCCCCGUCUGCUGUGUCAGAGGGACGGAGAUGGAGCAUACAUGUUGGGACCCGAAAGAUGGUGAACUAUGCCUGGGCAGGACGAAGCCAGAGGAAACUCUGGUGGAGGUCCGCAGCGAUUCUGACGUGCAAAUCGAUCGUCAGACCUUGGUAUAGGGGCGAAAGACUAAUCGAACCAUCUA